rnacentral:piRNA from 1 species
UAUCUUACAGCUAUUCAGACA